ensembl:snoRNA
AAGGCUAUACUUUCAGGGAUCAUUUCCAUAGUAUGCUACUAGAGAAGUUUCUCUGACCGUGUAGAGUACCAGAAACCACGAGGAGGAGGCGCAGCGUUCCUUUCUGAGCCUGAGGCCGGCUCUCGGUGUCGCUUUGCUGCAGCUGCCGCCUGCCCUUGAUGAUCCUUCUUGCUGCCUCCCUUGGGGGAGCAAAAGGAAAGGAACGCAGUCUGAGUGGCU